rnacentral:rRNA from 1 species
GACGAACGCUGGCGGCGUGCUUAACACAUGCAAGUCGAACGAAGUGGCGAACGGGUGAGUAACGCGUAAUCAACCUGCCCUUCAGAGGGGGACAACAGUUGGAAACGACUGCUAAUACCGCAUACUGAAGGAGGGGAUUGUGUUUGAUUAGCUAGUUGGAGGGGUAACGGCCCAACAAGGCGAGGAUCAGUAGCCGGUCUGAGAGGAUUAACGGCCACAUUGGGACUGAGACACGGCCCAGGCGCCUACGGGAGGAAGGAGUGGGGAAUAUUGGACAAUGGACCAAAGUCUGAUCCAGCAAUUCGGUGUGCACGAUGAAGUUUUUCGGAAUGUAAAGUGCUUUCAGUUGGGAAGCGGUACCAACAGAAGAAGUGACGGCUAAAUACGUGCCAGCCGCCGCGGUAAUUC